AUACGGAGGGUGCGAGCGUUAAUCGGAAUUACUGGGCGUAAAGCGCGCGUAGGCGGUUUGGUCAGUCGGAUGUGAAAGCCCCAGGCUCAACCUGGGAAUGGCAUUCGAUACUGCCUGACUAGAGUAUGGUAGAGGGAAGUGGAAUUUCCGGUGUAGCGGUGAAAUGCGUAGUUAUCGGAAGGAACACCAGUGGCGAAGGCGACUUCCUGGGCCAAUACUGGCGCUAAGGUGCGAAAGCGUGGGGAGCAAACAGGAUUAGAUACCCCAGUAGUCC
rnacentral:rRNA from 1 species